CUGCUUCUAAGAUCCCCGCUCCUCAAAUCAAUUUCACUGCUACUGCACCCGCACCGACAUCAGCACCAGCACCCGCACCUGCACCUGCAUCCACACCAGCACCAGCACCCACAUCAGCACCUGCACCCGCACCUGCACCCACACCCACAUCAGCACCUGCACCCGCACCUGCACCCAUUACUCCUCUUGGACCAAGGCCCCCACUUGUAUCUGUAGCACCCACUUCUACUGUAUCUGUAGCACCCGG
rnacentral:lncRNA from 1 species